CUGGAGGAAGUGAGUGUUUUAUAACCCUGUAAUCAGGAGCUGCUGUCAGGAGAAGAAUCCCACUGUGACUCAUCGUUCUUUGCUCCGUCCGGUUCCUCCACCAGCACACAGAACCUGUGAGUGAGGAGGCGAGGUUCUAAUCGAGGGUCACAGGGGCACCUGGAUCCUAUUCCAGGGAGCAUUGGGCACCAGGCAGGGUACACCCUGGACAGGGUGCCAGUCCAUCGCAGGGCACACUCACACACCCAUUCAUACACUACGGACACUUUAGACACGCCAAUCAGCCUACCAUGCAUGUCUUUGGACUCCAGUGGAAACCAGAGUACCCGGAGGAAACCCCCGCAGCACGGGGAGAGCAUGCAAACUCCGCACACGGCCCCAGCGGGACUCGAACCCUGGACUCUGGAGGUGUGAGGCAAACAUGCUAACCACCGAGCCACCGUGCGCCCACAUAAUCUUGAUCCUCAUCUAAAGAUCGACUUUACUCAAAAUGGCAGCCAAGUGGAUUCAACCAAGGGGAAGUGGAG
ensembl:lncRNA